UGGCACUAGCUGCUAACCCCUCUUCAGUCACAGCUUUCAAUUCCAUCAUCAAAGCACAUCUCUUAGCAACUCUAGCAGCUUCUCAUAAAUAGGCACUAUAUAUUUUCUUUCUCCUAGCUGUUCUGCAACAACAUAGAAAGAUAAAUAUUGGGUACUCAAAAGAGAAAAAAAAGGCAGUUUAAGAUAAAAUCGUACUAAACAUGACAAAGUUGACAGGGUAUUAUGGUAUUAUACUGGUGGUAGGUCUCAUAGUGUUGAAUUUUGUCGCUGAGGGAGCUGAUCCCUUAGAGAAGGAGUGUGCAGAUAACUUUCAGAAAUUGACAGAUUGCCUUGGUUACGCCACUGGCAAAGGAACCACCCCGACAGACGGAUGUUGCAAGU
rnacentral:lncRNA from 1 species